rnacentral:rRNA from 1 species
UACAAAGGGGGCAAGCGUUAUUCGGAAUUAUUGGGCGUAAAGGGCGCGUAGGCGGCUUUGCAAGUGACGGGUGAAAUCCCACGGCUUAACCGUGGAACUGCCUGUCAGACUGCAUGGCUUGAGACCAGGAGAGGUGAGUGGAAUUCCUAGUGUAGAGGUGAAAUUCGUAGAUAUUAGGAAGAACACCAGUGGCGAAGGCGGCUCACUGGUCCGGUACUGACGCUGAGGUGCGAAAGCGUGGGGAGCAAACAGG